rnacentral:rRNA from 1 species
GAUGAACGCUAGCGGCGGGCAUAAUACAUGCAAGUCGAACGGGAUAAGUUGUAGCAAUACGACUUUGAGAGUGGCGCACGGGUGCGUAACACGUAUGCAACUUGCCCUUAACAGGGGGAUAGCUUUCGGAAACGAAAAUUAAUACCCCAUAUUAUUACUUAUAUGCAUGUAUGAGUAAUGAAAGCUCCGGCGGUUAAGGAUGGGCAGGCGGCUGAUUAGCUAGUUGGCGAGGUAAAGGCUCACCAAGGCGACGAUCAGUAGGGGGUCUGAGAGGAUGUCCCCCCACACUGGUACUGAGACACGGACCAGACUCCUACGGGAGGCAGCAGUAGGGAAUAUUGGUCAAUGGAGGCAACUCUGAACCAGCCACGCCGCGUGCAGGAUGAAGGCCCUCUGGGUAGUAAACUGCUUUUGUUAGGGAAAAAACCCCUCGAUGCGUUGAGGGUUGAUGGUACCUAAAGAAUAAGGAUCGGCUAACUCCGUGCCAGCCGCCGCUGUAAGAC